CAUGUAGGCGGUAAUCUAAGCUUGGUGUGAAAGGCAGGGGCUUAACUCCUGGACAGCAUUGAGAACUGGAUUGCUAGAGUUACUGAAGUGAAAUCAGAAUUCCAGGUGUAGGAGUGAAAUCCGUAGAUAUCUGGAGGAACAUCAGUGGCGAAGGCGGCCACCUGGACCGGUACUGACGCUGAGGUGCGAAAGCGUGGGGAGCAAACA
rnacentral:rRNA from 1 species